UACAGAGGUCUCAAGCGUUGUUCGGAUUCAUUGGGCGUAAAGGGUGCGUAGGCGGCGCGGUAAGUCGGGUGUGAAAUCUUGGAGCUUAACUCCGAAACUGCAUUCGAUACUGCCGUGCUUGAGGACUGGAGAGGAGACUGGAAUUUACGGUGUAGCGGUGAAAUGCGUAGAUAUCGUAAGGAAGACCAGUGGCGAAGGCGGGUCUCUGGACAGUUCCUGACGCUGAGGCACGAAGGUCAGGGGGAGCAAAACGGG
rnacentral:rRNA from 1 species